UACGAAGGGGGCUAGCGUUGCUCGGAAUCACUGGGCGUAAAGGGUGCGUAGGCGGGUUUUAAGUCAGAGGUGAAAUCCUGGAGCUCAACUCCAGAACUGCCUUUGAUACUGAAAGUCUUGAGUAUGGGAGAGGUGAGUGGAACUGCGAGUGUAGAGGUGAAAUUCGUAGAUAUUCGCAAGAACACCAGUGGCGAAGGCGGCUCACUGGCCCAUAACUGACGCUGUAGCGCGAAAGCGUGGGGAGCGA
rnacentral:rRNA from 1 species